rnacentral:rRNA from 1 species
CUGUAAGCCUGUGAAGGUGGCCUGUGAGGGUUGCUGGAGGUAUCAGAAGUGCGAAUGCUGACAUAAGUAACGAUAAAGCGGGUGAAAAGCCCGCUCGCCGGAAGACCAAGGGUUCCUGUCCAACGUUAAUCGGGGCAGGGUGAGUCGACCCCUAAGGCGAGGCCGAAAGGCGUAGUCGAUGGGAAACGGGUUAAUAUUCCCGUACUUGGUGUUACUGCGAAGGGGGGACGGAGAAGGCUAUGUUGGCCGGGCGACGGUUGUCCCGGUUUAAGCGUGUAGGUGUGUGUUCCAGGUAAAUCCGGUUCACUUUAACACUGAGGCGUGA